GUCAACGCCGUAAACGAUGCUAACUCGUUUUGGGGUUUCGGCUUCAGAGACUAAGCGAAAGUGAUAAGUUAGCCACCUGGGGAGUACGUUCGCAAGAAUGAAACUCAAAGGAAUUGACGGGGCCCGCACAAGCGGUGGAUUAUGUGGUUUAAUUCGAUGAUACGCGAGGAACCUUACCAAGACUUAAAUGGGAAAUGACAGAUUUAGAAAUAGAUCCUUCUUCGGACAUUUUUCAAGGUGCUGCAUGGUUGUCGU
rnacentral:rRNA from 1 species